rnacentral:rRNA from 1 species
UCGGGAAUUUUGGGCAAUGGGCGAAAGCCUGACCCAGCAACGCCGCGUGAAGGAUGAAGUAUUUCGGUAUGUAAACUUCGUAAGAAUAGGAAGAAUAAAUGACGGUACUAUUUGUAAGGUCCGGCUAACUACGUGCCAGCAGCCGCGGUAAUACGUAGGGACCAAGCGUUGUUCGGAUUUACUGGGCGUAAAGGGCGCGUAGGCGGUGUGUCAAGUCAGUUGUGAAAUCUCCGAGCUUAACUCGGAACGGUCAACUGAUACUGUCACACUAGAGUACAGAAGGGGCAAUCGGAAUUCUUGGUGUAGCGGUGAAAUGCGUAGAUAUCAAGAGGAACACCUGAGGCGAAGGCGGGUUGCUGGGCUGAUACUGACGCUGAGGCGCGAAAGCUAGGGUAGCAAACGGGAUUAGAUACCCCAGUAGUCCCUGAGCGGGCUGGCAAGGCGCAU